rnacentral:rRNA from 1 species
CGAUGGCUCAGGAUGAACGCUAGCUACAGGCUUAACACAUGCAAGUCGAGGGGCAGCAUUGGGAUAGCUGCUAUUCCAGAUGGCGACCGGCGCACGGGUGAGUAACGCGUAUCCAACCUUCCCCAUAGUAGGGCACAGCCCGGCGAAAGUCGGAUUAAUUCCCUAUGUUGUCCAGAGAGGACAUCUGACCUGGACGAAAGAUUCAUCGCUAUGGGAUGGGGAUGCGUCUGAUUAGGUUGCAGGCGGGGUAACGGCCCACCUGGCCGACGAUCAGUAGGGGUUCUGAGAGGAAGGUCCCCCACAUUGGAACUGAGACACGGUCCAAACUCCUACGGGAGGCAGCAGUGAGGAAUAUUGGUCAAUGGACGGAAGUCUGAACCAGCCAAGUAGCGUGCAAGGAUGACGGCCCUAUGGGUUGUAAACUGCUUUUAUCAGGGGAUAAAGUGAGGUAUGUAUACCUUUUUGCAUGUACCUGAUGAAUAAGGACCGGCUAAUUCCGUGCCAGCCGCCGC